GACAGAGGAGGCGGGCGUUAUCGGGAAUUAUUGGGCGUAAAGCGUCCGUAGGUGGUUUGGCAAGUCUGGGGUUAAAGCCCGGAGCCUAACUCCGGAUCGGCCCUGGAAACUGCCAGACUAGAGUAAGGUAGGGGUUGCGGGAAUUCCCGGUGUAGCGGUGAAAUGCGUAGAUAUCGGGAAGAACACCAGUGGCGAAAGCGCGCAACUGGGCCAUUACUGACACUGAGGGACGAAAGCUAGGGGAGCGAAUGGG
rnacentral:rRNA from 1 species